rnacentral:rRNA from 1 species
UACAUGGGGUGCAAACGUUGCUCGGAAUCAUUGGGCGUAAAGCGCGCGUAGGCGGUUACUUAAGUUGGAUGUGAAAGCCCUCGGCUUAACUGAGGAAGUGCACCCAAAACUGAGUAGCUUGAGUACUAAAGAGGGUCGCGGAAUUCCCGGUGUAGAGGUGAAAUUCGUAGAUAUUCGCAAGAACACCAGUGGCGAAGGCGGCUCACUGGCCCGGUACUGACGCUGAGGUGCGAAAGCGUGGGGAGCAAACAGG